CCCGUUCAGCGCGCGACUCCGGGCAGGCAGGGAGUGUCUCCUGCCUCUCUCCCGGGCCCCUUCGCGUACAGGACUGUACGCGACCCGUCGCGGCUUGAGAAUUGAACCCAGACGGAAUUGGUGAAGCACCGGGGACUGUGGCGUGCUGACUGUGAUACAUGUUUGGAGGCAAGCAGGUAAAAACACAAAACAAAAGUAAACAGAACAGAAGAUGAGAAGAAUCGUGGAAUCCUGCUUCGGGACUUGGAGGAGAGCCAUGCUCACUCAUCCAGGGCCUCAUCCAGGGGCCGAACAGUCCCUUCCUAAGGCCCUCUCAAUAAACAAAGCCUAGGUCGCCUUCGCCCUCCAGACUGAGAGUCUGGAGUUCCCAGCUUACAAGAAGCUACCCAGAACCCGUGACAGGAAAGAGAAUGGCUCUAACACCCAACAGCCCGAAAGAGCCUUGCUGCAACAAGGCACGUUUUCCAACCCCCGUGGUCCAUGGACAUCUCCCAUCUGUGAUCGAAAAUGCUCAAGAAAACCUGAGAUGGUCAAUUUAUUCAGAAACCACCUCAAAUGCACGAGCACAGGUUUUCUUUCAAACAUCAAACAUCUUUCUCAGUGAACGAUGUACAGUAGGAUGCUUCGGGGCACGAGCAGGGAAGACAUCAAGGACUCGAUGUUCUCUGCCGAUGCACACCCAUUUCUUCUGGGGCUGAAUCCGAAUCUGUGCGUCUGCUUUGAAUGGAGCGAGGGAGCCUGGUGUCACGGGAGCAGAGAGAUUCCUGCACGGGCCAUCUCCUCAUCUUGGGCCUCUUCUCGCAGACAGUGGGAACGCUGGAAGGUCCACUUGCAAUUGGACUCUGACGAUCUCCCAGGAGCAAGCGCUGUGUGCCUUUGCCUUCAGAUAGCGGAAGAACACUCGGAAGUAGGUGCGGAUGGCCAGGGCAAAAGGCAGUGGACAGGACUGGCCCUGCUCUCUUGGCCUCUUCAGCACUUGCAGCUCACGCCACAGGCUAGAUAGUAGCUGGUCCAGCGCCCUCUCGUGCCAGGCAGCUCUGCUGGCCUCUGUGUCAAAGAGGUGGAGGACAUGCCUGAGGGUCUGGGAGUAGCAACUGGUGGUUUCUCCCAGAGUCAUCUGUGUGAUGUUAGUUCCUUCCUUCCAGGGACAUGGGAAAUCGGUCCUGUCCCGCAGGCACUGAUGACCCGGCACGCUUCGGAGCUCUGCUAGGAAGCGCGGGGUUUCGCUAUGCUCCAGGUGUAGGCUCCCAGAUUUACCAGAAUCAAGUGAGCUGGCUGGGCUGCAGCUCAGCAUCACCCCUCCCACCAGGAAUAGAUGCACAGGCAGCAUGCUGAAGCCUGAUCAUAGAGGAGCUUGCCUGCAGAUGGUGCUCUAGAGGGAGGCCACCUUCCCAUUGAGCCUGGUUUUGGUGCAAAGAGUUUACUUAGAGCUCCUGGGCUCUGAGUGACUGACUGUUCUGAGCUGGAGGUUCCUUCUGAGGCCAGGUGCAGCAAUGGAUGUCUCUUUUUGCUUCACUUAGAUGAUAAUCCCCUUCCUCCAGAGACACUGGAAAUUAUUUCUGUCCCCCAGUCACUGGUGUCCAGACACUCUUUUAAGCUCUCCUUACUAAGCCCAAGGUUUCCCUCUAAUGUUGGCUCCGGCUCUGAGAUGUCCUCCUAUCUACUGACCUGUCUGUGCUGCAGCCCAGCAUCACCCUUCCCGUCAGGAAGAGAAUGGCAUUUGUUUAUGUGGUGGAUUAUGUUGAUGGACUACUGUAUAUUGAACCAUCCCUGCAUCUCUGUGAUGAAGACUACUUGAAUGUGGUAGAAAUUAAUCUCUCGGAAGUGCCUCUUCACAGCCAGGUGACAUGUCAGAGCCACUCAGGAAAGGCUUACCCCAACUCCUGAACCAAGCAGCCUCCCAGAACUUAGCUCCUGGGAAGAACUUCUCAAGACCAUUCUCAUUUCAACAAAGCUCUGGUAUAACAGGGCACCUGGGGGGGGGGGGGGGAAGGAACGACGACCACAGGUUGUUCUACUAGUUUGGGGAAAAGAAUGUUGUUCUACUAGUUUCCCGGGAUUGCUGCAAUUGGCCGGAAACCACCGGGAGAAGAAGGAAGGAGAAAUAAAGGAAGAUUAAUCACCUAUAGUUAAGUAAAUUACAUACAUUUUUUUGGGGUCAUCAACAGGUUGUAAGUAAGCUCUCUAUAUACCAAUUUUGGAAAAUCUUGAACUGGAAAAAAAAAAUCCAGUAGGAUACAUGCCAUUUAGAAAAGAGCCAGGAAGUGGAGCAUAAGAAUGUAAGUAUAUUCUUAGUCUGCAUACAAGUAAACGCUAGAAGGAUUUGGAACUUCGAGAACAGAGAACUACGGCAAAUUAUAUACUUAUUCUCAAAUCAAAGUUAAAAUUUGCCAGUAGCUAGAGAACUGCAUGUUAAUAAAAAAUACUUAUAAAAGCAAAGUUCAACACAAGGGAAACGCAAAGGGUAACUAUUUUGGAAACAUUGACUUGAAUAUUCUACCAAAUAUUAUCAUUAUCCAAAUCAGGAUAACGUUUUGUGUUCAAAUCAUCUGCGCUUAUUACAGAGUCCAUAAGAUAAUGGAGGACAUUUGUACACUGAUGAAAACAGUGGACAAAGUAAACUAUAACAUGCUCAACUACUGGAAAACUGUAGCCAGUUAAAAAUAGUGUUUGGAAAACAAAACCCUGAAAACCGUAUUUAUGAAGGCAUUAUCUCUCCUGCCAAAUAUUAAAAAAAUGUAUCAUUAGGACCAAAAUUUAGUGGCAAGUUAAAUCUCAUGUGUCUUAAAUGUUAAACAAACAAACAAAAAACCUUUUACAAUCAACAUUUUUAAUUGAGUGUGACGCAAACUGUAAAACUGUUCUUGAAGAAAAUAAAUAAAUAAAACGAUACAAUG
rnacentral:lncRNA from 1 species